UGCGCAACCGCAGGUGGAAUCGAUGUACGCGCCUCAGUGGCGGGCAACCGGCGCGAGCGAGGGGCUGCUGAUUGUG
rnacentral:tRNA from 1 species